rnacentral:rRNA from 1 species
GACGAACGCUGGCGGCGCGCCUAACACAUGCAAGUCGAACGAGAGAGGAAGAGCUUGCUUUUCCGAUCGAGUGGCGAACGGGUGAGUAACGCGUGAGGAACCUGCCUCAAAGAGGGGGACAACAGUUGGAAACGACUGCUAAUACCGCAUAAGCCCACGGCUCGGCAUCGAGCAGAGGGGAAAGGAGCAAUCCGCUUUGAGAUGGCCUCGCGUCCGAUUAGCUAGUUGGUGAGGUAAUGGCCCACCAAGGCGACGAUCGGUAGCCGGACUGAGAGGUUGAACGGCCACAUUGGGACUGAGACACGGCCCAGACUCCUACGGGAGGCAGCAGUGGGGAAUAUUGCACAAUGGGGGAAACCCUGAUGCAGCGACGCCGCGUGGAGGAAGAAGGUCUUCGGAUUGUAAACUCCUGUUGUUGAGGAAGAUAAUGACGGUACUCAACAAGGAAGUGACGGCUAACUACGUGCCAGCAGCCGCAGUAA